AGUCAGCGGUUAGGCACCGGCUAAGGCAGAAUGCAGGACCACCCCAUUCCCACAGGGGGAAAGGCAGUGUGAUGCCCACCGCUGGGGUGAUCCACGAAAGGAUCUGGCUCACAUCCAGAGUCGCCGCUGCACCUGCCCCCAGGGGGUGCUGGCAGGGUUGCUGCUUUCGAUUGGGGGCAUGCUGGCAGUCCCUGAUCAAGGAUGAAAGGGCUUCCUUCCCUUCACCUCCGGAUCCUGCCGACAGGUCUUGGACUGUAAUAAAGAUGACUGAUUGAUGGUCAUGGAUGUGAGCUACAAUCAGCCCUUCAAGCAAGUAUUGUGGAAGAAAUGGGUGGAGUGGAUGUACGCUGGGCUGAGGACACUCACCGCAUCAGGCCGUCAGAAGAAGCUAGACCUUUCCAUUAUCAUCCGGUGGGUUGAAGAGGCUUGGGAGGAAAUUGACCCUGCCAUACGUCGGAGGUUCAAGCAACGCUGCCUAACAAAUGGGAUGGAAGACUCUGAAGAUGAUAGCCUUUGGGUGAUAUUUGAAUCCACUGAUUCAGAUAUAGAAUUUUAAAGUUUUGCCAAAGACAAUAGAGAUGGGAAUCCCAGUGAAUCAUCCAACAAUGAAGCCCCACCUCACUGUCAGCUCUGAGCUCAGAUGCUGCCCCCGCCCCCAGUCCUCUGAGGACAAGCAGGUUCAUGAAUAAAGUUGUUGAUGUUCAUAACUGAA